UCAGCCAAGUGGAGUGAAUUGAAUUUAGCAGGCAGUGUUUGCCUGUGACAUUUGAAUUAAUUAGUAAUGUCUAUGUACUGAUACUGAAAACAACUUUAUUAGCCUAUUAUUUUCUUUUCGUUUUUGGACACAACUUUUGGUUUUACGCAGCAGUUAGCAGGUGUUUCUGGACUCAGCCAUUUGUCAUGUGAGCUGUCAGUAAGAUGGAAGAAGAGUGUUUCACUCUCUUGGCAGAUUCAGACAUUCAGCAGCAUUCCCAAACGACUCCACUGAGAUGCCAGCCAGGGAUAACUCCUUCACUCCACCAAGCUAGUGCUGCGUGUGCAACAGGUAACUUUCUGUAUAUCUCUGACGACUGUUGGUGUUUAUGUAGUUAGCAAUAUCAGUAGGCUAAAUGAAGAGAAAGGGUUAGUUAGCCUGCUGCUGCACAUUAGCUGAUUCUUUUCUUUUGACUUUAUCGAUUUAGGCUAACGUUAUCCAUUUAAUUAUUAUUCUUUACACUUGUUAAAGCACUUUGUAAUUUGUUUUUGAAAAGUGCUCUACAAAUAAGGAUUAUUAUUAUUAUUAUUAUUAUUAUUAUUAAUUUCUCCUGAUGUCAUAUUUCCUGCCCUGGUGGGCUGAGGUGCCCAACAGUGGCUGGGUCUGAUGGCAGUGGCUGCUUUGACACCAUAUAAUGACUAGCGUCAGGGCAGGCUCAUUAAAUUAGGGCCCGAGCAUGAAAAAUGCGAGGUCCCUAUUGAAACUGAA